rnacentral:lncRNA from 1 species
GAGAGAGAGCUAGGCUUGUGUGUAGAGAAAAAGAGAGGUUAGAAUACUUUUAAUACCAAGGAGCCCUUCGUGUCACUAAGUUGUUUUCGAUGCUGGGAUAUCUGAAUUGAUGAUCGACUCCGCUGGACAUGAUCUACGAUGUUGGAACUAUAUAAAAAUGAAUUCAUAAUUUUAUGACAUCAUUUAUCAAUCAAACAAGGAGUCUCGAAAUGAACUCAUAAACAACUAUGGAAAGGUCUCAAAAUUGACAAAUAUAAGUAUGAUAUGAUGCAUUUAUAAGUUUAACAAUGUAGAACAAUCCAAAUCCAAUGAAAUUUUGAUAGCAAAUUCUUUUCACUAUUUAGCAAGAUCAAUACUUCUGACCUAAAAUUUAAGUCUUUCAUCAUUUCUUUUUAUGAGAUUUUUAUUUUCAGCAGUUCAUUUCAAGACUACUGGUGUGAUAGGUAAAUGAUGUCGAAAAAUUAUGAAAUUCGGUUUGUAGAUAGUUCCAAUAGCGUAGAUUAUGUCUAAUAGAGCCAAUCGUUAAUUCCGAAGUCCCAUGAUCAAAAACAACUUGGUAGCAAAGAGGGUUUCAUGCUAUUAAUUGUAAUACAUACUA